rnacentral:tRNA from 1 species
GCGAAAGUGGCGGAAUUGGCAGACGCGCCAGACUUAGGAUCUGGUGGGGUAACACCCGUGGGGGUUCGAGUCCCCCCUUUCGCACCA